rnacentral:rRNA from 1 species
UACGUAGGGUGCGAGCGUUAAUCGGAAUUACUGGGCGUAAAGCGUGUGCAGGCGGUUUGUUAAGACAGGGGUGAAAUCCCCGGGCUUAACCUGGGAAUUGCGCUUGUUACUGGCAGACUAGAGUGCGUCAGAGGGAGGUGGAAUUCCACGUGUAGCAGUGAAAUGCGUAGAGAUGUGGAGGAACACCGAUGGCGAAGGCAGCCUCCUGGGAUGACACUGACGCUCAUACACGAAAGCGUGGGGAGCAAACAGG